rnacentral:lncRNA from 1 species
UAAAUUCCUCAUUGCACUAUGAGGAUACGUAGGCAUGAAGGCCCUAAUCCUCACCGGACACUUUGUCUAUUUCUCUUCCUUUCCCCAUUCUUUUGCGAGUAAUAUUAGAUAUAACACCUAUUCGAGCGAGAACAAUCAAAACGGUUCACAUGGAGUACCAUGGAUGUUUGGGGUACUAAUACCUUCCCCUUGCAUAACCGACUUCCUU